rnacentral:rRNA from 1 species
GACGAACGCUGGCGGCGUGCUUAACACAUGCAAGUCGAACGGAAAGGCCCUGCUUUUGUGGGGUGCUCGAGUGGCGAACGGGUGAGUAACACGUGAGUAACCUGCCCUUGACUUUGGGAUAACUUCAGGAAACUGGGGCUAAUACCGGAUAGGAGCUCCUGCUGCAUGGUGGGGGUUGGAAAGUUUCGGCGGUUGGGGAUGGACUCGCGGCUUAUCAGCUUGUUGGUGGGGUAGUGGCUUACCAAGGCUUUGACGGGUAGCCGGCCUGAGAGGGGGACCGGCCACAUUGGGACUGAGAUACGGCCCAGACGCCUACGGGAGGCAGCAGUGGGGAGUAUUGCACAAUGGGCGGAAGCCUGAUGCAGCGACGCCGCGUGCGGGAUGACGGCCUUCGGGUUGUAAACCGCUUUCGCCUGUGACGAAGCGUGAGUGACGGUAAUGGGUAAAGAAGCACCGGCUAACUACGUG